CCUACGGGCGGCUGCAGUGGGGAAUAUUGCACAAUGGGCGCAAGCCUGAUGCAGCCAUGCCGCGUGUGUGAAGAAGGCCUUCGGGUUGUAAAGCACUUUCAGCGGGGAGGAAGGCGGUGAGGUUAAUAACCUCAUCGAUUGACGUUACCCGCAGAAGAAGCACCGGCUAACUCCGUGCCAGCAGCCGCGGUAAUACGGAGGGUGCAAGCGUUAAUCGGAAUUACUGGGCGUAAAGCGCACGCAGGCGGUCUGUCAAGUCGGAUGUGAAAUCCCCGGGCUCAACCUGGGAACUGCAUUCGAAACUGGCGGGCUAGAGUCUUGUAGAGGGGGGUAGAAUUCCAGGUGUAGCGGUGAAAUGCGUAGAGAUCUGGAGGAAUACCGGUGGCGAAGGCGGCCCCCUGGACAAAGACUGACGCUCAGGUGCGAAAGCGUGGGGAGCAAACAGGAUUAGAUACCCCAGUAGUC
rnacentral:rRNA from 1 species